rnacentral:rRNA from 1 species
CGGCGGACGGGUGAGUAACACGUGGAUAACCUACCUAUAAGACUGGGAUAACUUCGGGGAACCGGAGCUAAUACCGGAUAAUAUAUUGAACCGCAUGGUUCAAUAGUGAAAGACGGUUUUGCUGUCACUUAUAGAUGGAUCCGCGCCGCAUUAGCUAGUUGGUAAGGUAACGGCUUACCAAGGCAACGAUGCGUAGCCGACCUGAGAGGGUGAUCGGCCACACUGGAACUGAGACACGGUCCAGACUCCUACGGGAGGCAGCAGGC